GAUGAACGCUGGCGGCGUGCCUAAUACAUGCAAGUCGAGCGAACAGACGAGGAGCUUGCUCCUCUGACGUUAGCGGCGGACGGGUGAGUAACACGUGGAUAACCUACCUAUAAGACUGGGAUAACUUCGGGAAACCGGAGCUAAUACCGGAUAAUAUAUUGAACCGCAUGGUUCAAUAGUGAAAGACGGUUUUGCUGUCACUUAUAGAUGGAUCCGCGCCGCAUUAGCUAGUUGGUAAGGUAACGGCUUACCAAGGCAACGAUGCGUAGCCGACCUGAGAGGGUGGUCGGCCACACUGGAACUGAGACACGGUCCAGACUCCUACGGGGGGCAGCAGUAGGGAAUCUUCCGCAAUGGGCGAAAGCUUGACGGAGCAACGCCGCGUGAGUGAUGAAGGUCUUCGGAUCGUAAAACUCUGUUAUUAGGGAAGAACAAAUGUGUAAGUAACUAUGCACGUCUUGACGGUACCUAAUCAGAAAGCCACGGCUAACUACGUG
rnacentral:rRNA from 1 species